GAGCCUGUCCCAAGAAAGGAUUCCUGGUGGGCCAUUUCCUGUUCACAUUGCAGUCUUUCUCAUGAGAAUCCACUCUUGAACCCUGUGCCUCCCUGUAGGCUGUGACAGAUGGUGGCAUCCAACUGUCCCUGACUGAGUGAAGUGAGGAAGAGCCAAUGGCAUGAAGCCAUACUGAUGGUGCUAGUGUGUGAGGUCUAAUCCACAACCAACACUUGUGUUGCAAGAACUGCAGCAAGAAAAAAUAGAUGCCAAGACUGUUUGAUCAACAUGGGAGAGCAAUUUGUUGACUCACGAACCUAGCUCUCUCUGAUUACUGCUUACAUAGCACUUUGGAAAGGUUGGCCAAAUACCUUCAAGUCAAGUACCUUGUUAUUAUGAACAUGAGUACCAAUAACAAAGAAAAAAUAGCCUACAUGUCACUGAAUAAUAAAUCAGUGCAGCAUCUUGGCAUCAAUCAUCUAAAAGCAUCUAGUAUUCUGGGAUCUGUUUGCAAUCAGACAAAUGAAGCAGCAAGAGAGUGCAGUUCAAGGACUGACCUGCAAAAUCAGCCUUUGGCCAUCUUGUAUAGGAGCUGAUGUUCAUGAGAAGGGGCUAACUUAGAUUGCUCCAAAAGAAGGUGCAGGCUGACUGGAGACAGAUGCUUCAUUGCCAGCAAAAGGAAGAGGGAGGUUGCUUUCUUUCAGAAACAUAUAUUACUUCUUCUAGUACCUUUUAACUGUCUUCAGCUGAAUUGCAUGAAAAUAAGUACUGCAGUUACACUUCAAGGUAAUAUGAGUCACCUAAAUGUGAUGGAGGCAUUUUCCUCUUCUUGCUUUUCACUCUAUUGGAUGAAACCUUGGAGAUAGAUACACAGCAAAUGCCGAAUAUAACAAAUAGAAGGAGGAGACCUAGCAGGAGGAAAGUUAGAUAAAGAGUCAGAAUGUAGCUAGGACUAGAAGGGAGAAGGAAGAACGCAUGACCCUCCACAUGGCCACGUUUUCAGCAGCUUCCUGGAUUUAACACUCUACUAUUUUGCAGUAGGUGGCCACCUCCAGCCCCUGCAGCAAAAGAACUCAGAAUCCUACUGAAGUUUUAUUCGUGUCCUUCCUGUUGGACUUUUUGGUGGGAGGCCUCAGUCUGGACCUCAUCUAGACUUCUUGGAUACAGCGGGGCAGCAGCGUACGCUAGAAGCUAGCACACUAGAAAUGCAUUCAAAUGCCUAGCUGAUGCAAACAUGGAGAUUGACUUUUCUCAGAGCUCCAGGGCUGUUUGAAUUCACAUUGUCAUACACAGGUAGGUGGCAGCACACUUUCAAAUCUAUUAGCGAUCCAUCUUUAAUCUCAGU
rnacentral:lncRNA from 1 species